AGCUGAGCAAAACUAAUUACGGAUAUGUUUGUGACAUGAAAUGCCUACAAGAUACUCUUGGUGAGCUGGUGAAAAAAGGUGAACUGAAAUUCUAAUUAAAAUAAAAUAAUUCUAUGUAAUAAUUACGUAUUUUCUAAAGGAGCCAUCCUUAGUGUAAUGAUAUAUUAGGUAUUUGUUUUAUUUUUACAUUCCUAAUUGUCAUUCUAGUCUUUACCCUAGCCCUAAGACCUAAGUCUAACUCAAAAGUUCUUAAUCCAUCACAUUCCUAAUCCAACCCUGAUUUAUCCUAAAUCUAACCCUAAUCCCCGAGCCGACGGCGCGAAGCGCCGUGCGAGGGUACUAAUUUCCCCCGGCUAUUUACACUCGUGGAAACGAAAGCAUUAACGAAGUCUAAAGUUCAUCAAUUAUCGCGGGCGCUUACCAACGGUGUUGAGUGGGUGGUCAAUCACUGAUCUCAAAGCCAGGAGUGAAGAAGGCAAAAAAUAUAAAAAAACACAUGUAAGAAAGCUUGGAAAAUCGUUUCACAUAACAAAUUGAACAACUUUUUUGCAAUUUGUAAACGUAAACAUUGAUAAGAAUUGAUAUUGUAUGAUAAAUCCUAAAGUAUAGGGCAAGCUUGUUUCAAUUGUUUAUGUAUGACUUUGUAUUUAAUAAUAUAUACUUUGAUCUUGAUGUUUAAGUCUUUCCUAUGCAUUGCUUGCGAAAGUUUCUUAGUUAAAUUAACUUUUGUAGAAGUUCAUGAUAAAAAGGAAAGCAAAUUAUUUUCAUUAGCGUCCUGUACGAAUUAAAUUCGUUUCAUUUCAAAGUGCGAGUAAUAAGUUGAAGCUCGAGUUGAGAAGUUUAUAAAUAUCGGCAAGAAGCGGUUAAUUUCAAUUCACAUUUAAAAACGUUUUACGUAGAGUUUCGUUUUGAAUUUUACAUUAAAAUAAAGCCCAUAAAAACCAAAAUAUUAUACCUACUUUAUAUAUUUUAGAAAUUGAUAGUUCUGUAUUUAAAAGUGUUCAAAUUUCAUGUAUUUUUUCCCGGUUUGUACAAAAAAUUAAAAAAACAAUUUUGUGUGGCCAUGACUAACAUGACGUGGCAACGCGAGCCUGCGUUCAGUGUUGGCGUAAUUACGAAUACUUCAUGUUGAAGCAAUAUUUGGAAAAUAUAGGCGAGGGGUUGUUGCAUGCACGUAUUCUAGUCCUCCCGUACAAUGCUACUACCCAUCGUUUAAUUAAUUAUAACAUUCUUGAACGUUUCUAUUUCACAUUAUUUACAAGCGAAUACAAUAAUAAAAAAAUUAUGAAAAUGAAUUAAUCUCGACUUAAGCUAAAAAUAUAUACAUCAAUUGUAAUACGACAGUGAACUGACAUGGACGCCGCGGAGCUGGAGUGGGGAGGAGGGAGGCAUCGCAUCCUCUGCUCUUUUCCGGGGCGGGAAAUUGGGCAAAGCUGUCAUUGAUUUUAGGUAAAUAUUUAAAAUAUUCCAAAAUUAUUUAAAAUGUUUUUACUUGUUCGCCGAAUGAGCCCAAAAUCGCGAAUCGAAAGACGGUUAUUUAGAGGGAAAUGUACUUCUAUGCAGGCGUCGAUUUUGACCAAUAUACAAUUUUGUUAGUUUCGAGAAUCAGUACUAAUACAAUUCUAGAGAAUAUUGUCGAUGGGAUUUUUUGUUGAUCGGGAGGGGGGCGGUACAGUUUAUCAAUCCUACCCUUACCCACCUUAUAUUCUACACAAUAACAUUAACAAAUAUAGUAUGCAAAAUCUGUGCACAAAAGUUUUUCUUAACACUCUAUUGUGGCGUCAUUUUUGGGAUAUUUAUAUGGAAUGCCACCUGUUGACCUUCUUUACGUACAUUUUUUGAGAAGAAUUAAUUGUUUCAUACCUUGAUUGAUUAUCAAUGACUAACGUUUAUUAACACAAUUACAUUUGCAAAAGAUUACAAAAGAACUUUACCAAAGCCUGCAUCCCCAAAUUUGGUUGACGUUGGAUGGCAAACGAUACAUUUGAGCCUUAAUACGACAGAAUUGGGAAAUUACAGUGAUCUUUAUUAUAUUUUGGAAGUCAAGCCGCAAUGGGGCCUUCAAGAGAGGAAUAAUGUCUUUGUUGUGUUUCCUUACACAAGGAAAUACCACCAU
rnacentral:lncRNA from 1 species